GAUGACGAGAGAAAGGACUAGGGUAGUGCUUGUGAGAGAGGGAAAUUUGAUAUUCUAUCGGUGAGAUCCAAUUUAAUUAAGAUGUUUUUAAAAUUACCUGUGAGUGAAUGCAGAACGCUUUACCAGACACUGAGGGAGAUAGACAAAGAUUAGGGAAAAAACGAUCCAAAGAUCUCAAGGAUCGCAUAAGGUGACAAUUGGAAGAGAUCUCAGAACAAUGAACACAAAUAAUCAGAAUUAGAAAGUACUUUGGAACAUAGGGAAGGGAACAAGCAUUUUUCAUGCACCUGACACUGUACUAGAUUUGAUACACAGAAUGUCGCGUGGCAAGAAGCCUUUGCCAUGACACACAGUCUUAUCUUCCCUUUAAAGGUAAGAAAUCAGAGGGAGGGAGGACCACGAGUUUUUAGAUCUGGAAUGAUUGUUGUGCCGUCCACAGAAAAUAAGCUGGAAGGUUCUGGUUGGAAGAAACUGAUUCCUUCCUCUCAACGUGCUUUUCCACAUUGUGUUUUGUGGCCGAGUCGCUGCAGGGGUGGAAGGGCGUAGGCUAGGCUAAGGGAUGGAGAUGUUUGUCCCGCGAGUUUUGGAGGGGUGGGGGUGACAGUUCGGUUUGGGAGGUUGGGAAUGCCAAGGGGUGAUUCUGGCUGCAAAGUAGUUGAGAAAGAGCGAGCCGGGAGGAAGCGGAGCCCUGGAAAGAAGAGGAGGGGAGAAGCUAACAACGGGGGACAGGGGUGAGAGCUAAGCGAAGGGAAACAAUCAGUGCGGGGGGAAUGCAGGAGCUCUGUAUCUAAAGAGCCCGGGGCAGAGCACAGGGAGUGCCCGGGGCCAGUACGUGGAGAGGGAACGUGCCCUUACUGAUGGACUUGCGAGGACCCGCCAGAAGCUGGGGCUUCUGCUUCCAGAGCGCUGUGGGAUAAUGGAAUGGGCCCUGGAUUUCUGUAAGGUGGCAAUUCUCGCCUCUAAAGCCUGUGGCCUUCGCCAGGCGGAGGCUUGCUCCCUUCGUUCGUUUAGUCCCCCUUUUCCACCUCAGUUUUCCCCAUCUGUGAAAAAGGGCUGAACGAGUUUCACAGUUACUUCCGGCUCGCACCUUCCAGGAGUCUGAGAGCCUCUCUCUGGGGCGUUCCCCCGACUCCCUCCUUCCAGAGCAGGCCGGGCUCGCGGGAGGGCCCUGGACCAAUAGAUGAGAAGAAGGAAGCUUCCCAAGGACCAGGCCCGAUUCCCCGUCCGGGCAGGGCGGAAGCAGGAGGCGUCAAGUGGGAGGGUACUUCCGCUAUUGCGUCUUCCGCAAGAUGGCGGCCCCCGUGUCUGUUCAGGUGGAGUUCGGAGGCGGAGCAGAGCUCUUAUUUGACGGUGUAAAGAAGCACCAGGUGACCUUACCCAGUCAAGAGGAGCCUUGGGAUAUCCGAAACCUUCUCAUCUGGAUAAGGAAGAACCUGUUAAAGGAGCGGCCAGAGUUAUUUAUCCAGGGAGAUAGCGUGCGACCAGGGAUUCUGGUACUAAUCAAUGAUGCUGACUGGGAGUUGCAGGGUGAAUUGGACUACCAAUUACAGGACCAAGACAGCAUCCUCUUCAUUUCCACACUACAUGGUGGUUAGAGCAUCUAUCCUCCUCCAUCCUUCAGUUCCUUCAGCUCCCAGGGACCUUCAGGGCAGAAAACAUCCAAAAUGGGGGAACAAUAGAGACAGAAAUCCUCCCCCCUCUCCUCCUUCCCCCACAGCCGGAGCAUGUGGGACAACAAGCUUGCCAUGACUUUGUCUUCAUGAAGAAGGACCAGCAGCAAAAGAGACCCAGGCAGUCCUGCUCUCCUGCCUCUUCCCCUUGCUGCAUUCUUCCCACUCCCUCUCCAGCCUUAGCAGCUUUCCCUCCGGGAAGGGAAAUGAGGCCAGGUACUAAAAAUGUGCUGCUUACAGCUCGUGUACUAGUGGAAGAAGCUACUACCACCUCCUUCCCCCAAAUGGGAGGGGGGCACAGCUUUGCCAAGAGACCUGCCCCAGAUUGCUCCCUUCUGUAAUCUGUGCCCCCAAGGGAGGUAGUAGCCCUUCUGCCCCCACUACUCUGCAGGCAAGUUUGUGAGCUCUGAACCUCUAUGUUCCCACCUCGUAUGGCACUGUUCCAGUAUUCCAAACUGUGUCAUCUUGAGCAAGUCAUUCAUCACCCUGAGUUUUAGUUUCCUGCUCUGUGAAAUUGCCUUUUGGCAAUUUCUAAGGACCCUUUCAAGCUCUAGAAUUCUGACUGAGAUUCCUUGCCUCAGUUUCCUCUCUCAGAAGCAAAGGGCUCCACCUGCUUCUUCUAGUGUCAUUACUGAACCACAGCUGGGGGCCCCUAUUCAGUGCUGCCUCUUCCUCCUCCUUCUGCCUGGAUGCCCCCAGCUGCUCCAACCUUGCUCCUCUGACUCCCCUAGCCCUUGACCUAGGCCUGCCCUAUAGUAUAGAGGCUACCAGAUGGACUCCCCCAGAGAUAAAAAACUGCCUGAAGACACCUGGGCUCUGUGCCUCACUGGGGAGGGCUUUGGGUCGCUUCCUCGUGCCUCAGUUUCCUCUCCAGUGCCUAGGAUUUUACCAUUGUGAACUGAGGUGGUGCCAGAAAACCAGGGCACAAGAAACUGCUUUGUGACAUAUUUGGGACCUCCAGCUUCUCGCCCCACAGCAUGCAGACCCAUCUGGAAGCCAACAUGGCGGUGCUUGUAACAGCCGGCAUUGGGCAAAUAAAGGCUUUCAUGCCUGUCGUUUUUUUCUUUAUUGCUUGGAGCCUCAUCCUAGAUACAGCCGGGCUGGGUCAGUUGUUAUCCGAGUGACCUCAUGGCAUAGCUCCUGGCUUGAUGCAAAUGUCCCAGGGAUUCUGAGAAUCAUCCUCUUCACUCCCUGAAGCAGGCUUAAGGGCCCAGUCAAAAAUGCCUGACAAGAUCUGGGAGUAGGAUUAUGCUGGGGGACUUUUGGGGGGCCAGGAAAGGUUGAAUCCAGCUUGAUUUGGUCCUCUCAACCUAGUCAAGUUCACAGUAAAGCUGAGAACUGAAUCCCUGCUCAUUCCCCUUCUCCUUGGUAUGCAUAAUGCUAAGUAUUAUACCAUCCACAUAGGGUAUAUCUCUAAUCUAUCAAUUAGCCUGUCAGAUUGAGUUUUCAGGAACCUGUACCUCCUGAUCUCACUAGCUCUCUCUGUUUCUAUCCCUAUCACCAGAGAAGCCCCCUAUCCAUCAAAAGAAAUUGAAAAUUGUCAAUAUGUGUCCUGUUCCCGGUCUUGGGUGUUUAGCUUUUUAUCUUCAUAAAUGUAGGAAGAGGUUUUGUUCAUUCAUUUCUGAUAUUGUAGAAUCAAGGCCAUAGCUAGGACCCAAAGAUAAGGAGAAUGUGAUCUCAGUCUCAAAACUAGAGAUGGGAGGAUGGAGGAAGGAUGCCGUGGGCAGAGAAAAUAAUAUUUUCUCUAAAAGAGUUUUUCCAGAAAGGUUGAAAAGGGGAUAACGAUAUCUCACCCAUGCCAUCUCCCCUCACUGUUCCUCUCAAAGGACUUAAAUCUUUUUGGCCUCAGGGUGCCAACGGCCUAAGAUAGGGUUUUCUUUGUAAAACAUCCCUGAGCUAGAUAGGGCUCACUUUGCCUUAGAAUCAGUCAAAACUGCUCAUGUGUUUGGAUGUGUGUGACUACUGGUUUCUGCUUAUGUGGUGUGUGGUUUGGGCCUCUUGAAUAGUUCAUGCAAAAUCCAGGGAUCUGCUCGUGGGAGAACCUAUAUUUCUGAAAGCAAGUGCCCUUCUGGGUCUGUAUGGGGAAAGUGUCUACGUGAAGCUAUUAGGUCGUAUUUGUCUUUUUGGGUACAGUCGCAACUAUGUGCUUCUAUCUAGAUGGAACUGCGUGUUAUGAAUUAAAUUCCCUUUCAGUUUAAUCCCACUUUAGGCAACCCACCCCCUUCUAAGUAAUAAGACCUGCAGUCACCUUACCCUUGCUGGACAUCCCGACUCCCUCCGCCUCCCCCAGCCGCCCACGCGGCUGCGGCAGGGAGCUCCCCUUGGCCAGUCGCCCCACGCGGGAUUCCCCCGCCCCUGCCGCCUGUCUGUUCCCAGGGAAGGAAGGACCUGGUGUUUCUCAUCUUUUCUCGGAGUAGACUUGGCAGCGGAGGCGGGAGGCACUUGGGUCCCCGUCCCUCCUAGCGAAAGAGCCCUUGCCCGGCUCCAAACAAACACCCACGAGUCUAGGCGAGAGGCAAGCGCUCAGAAAAACGAGUUUCCCGGCGCCUCCGACCACCCCCGCCAAAACUCCCGGGGCUGAAGACAGUCCUGCUGAGUGUCAUCCCGGGUGCCCCGGCCAUGUACAGGCCCCAUUCGAACUGGCUCCCUGCCUACGAGGAUUCCCAAGCUCGGCCCCAAAGGUGAAAACCGAGACUCCGGGGAGGAAGGGGGAGGGGGGCGAACGCGCUUUUUUUUUUUUUUUUUUUUUAAAUAUACAAAUAAUGAAUGUAAAUCUCUCCAGCUUGUUUGUUUGUUUUUUAAUUGAUAAAAUUUCUUUUCCAAGAUUUGCUUCGAAAGUGCAGGCAAUCUAUUACUCUCGCUCCUCGGGCUCCGGCUCCAGCUUGGGCUGGGCUCUGCCCGGCUGGGCUUGGCUCCCAGCCCCGGGAGCCGUAGCCGAAGCUUUUCGAAUCUGUCUGUUUCGGAAGGAAUCAGGGAAGACUCCGAUUUCGUUUGGAUUCUAUGUUCGCUUUCUAAUGCGCACCAAAUUCUAAACGAGUUUGCGAGCUGCCUUCCCUGGUUCCGUCGGCCCCUCUCUUCUCCCUCCUCCCGUGGCCUCAGACUAGUUCCCGGACCUAUCCUCGGCAUCCUGACCCUGCUCCCAGCCAAACCGUGCCUUCCUCUCCGGACCCGGGAUUUGAGGGUGGGGGAUCAUAACAAAAGCAACUGUAAUGAUCGCGACAGUGAUCAUAGUGGCUGUGACCGUGAGAGCGUGGGUGGUGGCGGUGAUGAUGGUGCUGAUGAGGGUGGUGAGGGGAAAGAAUUGUCUUUCGCGCGCCCCAUCGGAGCGGGGAAUUCCAGCGAUUUCCCCCUCCUCGAGGGAUGAGGGAUCCGUCUGGCGCAUUUCACUCCCCAGCCCUAGCAAGCGAGCGCCGGGAGCCCGGGGCAGGGACUCUGCCCACAGAGGGGGGCUCGUCCCGUCCUGAUUCCCCCCUACUCACUGCUGGAUGCUCGGUCCCCACCAACCUCUUGAUCUCCCCGGUUGCGCCGGGAGCUCAGCCACAGAUGUCCAGCCACAAUUCUCGGUUGGCUGCAGACUCGCACAAGAAUUGCGUUUGGACAAUCAGCGGCGGAACCCCUGCUCCCCGUCCUCCCCGAACCCCCCUUACCCUCCCCACCUCCAGUCGCCGCCCAGCUCCUGGAAAGCGCCACCUCGGACACCUGGGUCUCGGAGCUCUGCGCCUGACCGAUCUCCCCACGACCGCUUUCCUUCGCAGACCUCCUUAGGUGCCAGCAGAUCCAGCCGCCCACCGCCCCCUAUCCCUGAGAUCAAUAGCGGAGAUUCCCCUUGUCCUGCCGGACAGAUCCAAAUCGAUUGCGGCCGAACUCCAACCCGGAUCCAGAUAGAAGGUCCAGUUUGCCGGGAAACCUAGGCUUGGGUUCUCCGAGCGCCCCCAGGACGCGGGGUUGGGCGGGGCUGGAGCGGGGACUCCGGCUGCCCUCGGCCAGAGACUCCGGCACCCCACGCCGGGCCGGCCCCGGACUCCGGGCUCCCCAUUCCCGACUCCCGAGCCGGGCGCUUGCGUCCGAGUGGAUGGGAAGCAUCAAACAGAAAGAAUCGAAGGCGCAUCUCUGGCUUCCCCUUCCCCAGCAUCGGGGCCCCCCGACAGCUGGCUGGGACCUCCUAGUCUGCCCGCCGGCGGGGAGGGGGGUGUGUUGCCCGACUACUGGGUUCCCUGGCCCGCGUCUCCCCCCUCCUCCGGCCCCGCGGCCCCAGCACGCACCGACUCCUGAGCUUUCCGCUUCCCGGGCACUCUCUCCCUCCGGCCGCGCUGGGGAUAGGGGUCCCUCGCCCUCUCUCCCAGCCCCGGAGAGACCAGGAGUGGAGGAAUGCGAGAGAGCUGGGCGUGCGGAGCUGGGGGCCCCUCGGGCCACCUGCAGCCGGAGUCACUCCUUCCCCUGGAGAUCCGGGCUGGGAGCUGGGGGUGGGGUGGGGUGGGUAGGUGGGUGGCCGGGGCUGGGCCGGGCCGGGCCGGGCCGGGCCGGGCUGGGAGGGGGGGCGCCCGUCGUCCCCCCGGACGCGCAGGGCGAGGCGCAGGGCUGAGCGGGAGCAGGCGCCUCUGGCGGCUCGGGGGCCUCGGGGCGGGCUUUUAGUCGUCCCCUCCAACAAUACGGGCCUUGCUGCGGCGGCCGCCGAAGAAUGGGGAUGGGCUGCAAUUGGUACUGGAUUUGAAUAACACCACGGGGAGAUCAAUGGUCAUUGUGUCGGUGGAGUAAUGAAUCUCCGCUGUCUCCAGAGCCCCACC
ensembl:lncRNA